rnacentral:rRNA from 1 species
GACGAACGCUGGCGGUAUGCUUAACACAUGCAAGUCGAGCGAGAAUCGUUUUGCUGAAGGCUUCGGUCUGACGCAGAAUGAGGAAAGCGGCGAACGGGUGAGUAACGCGUGGGCAACCUGGCCUUAAGAAAAGGAUAGCCCCCGGAAACGGGGAGUAAUACUUUAUGAGAAUGAGAGAGGGCAUCCUACUUUCAUUCAAAGCGCAAGCGCUUAAGGAUGGGCCCGCGUAUGAUUAGCUAGUUGGUGAGAUAACAGCCCACCAAGGCAACGAAGAUUCGCCGGUCUGAGAGGGCGACCGGCCACAUUGGAACUGAGAGACGGACCAACCUCCUACGGGAGGCAGCAGUGGGGAAUAUUGCGCAAUGGAGAAGAACUCUGACGCAGCAAUACGCGUGAGCGAAGAAGGUCUUCGGAUCGUAAAGCUUUGUUAUCAGGGAAGAAGAAAAUGACGGUACCUGAUGAGCAAGUCCCGGCUAACUACGUGCCAGCAGCCGCCGUAAAAC